AUUAUAAUUUUAUAAACUUUAUAAGCAAAUAUGCAUUGCAGAAUUUUCGAACUUUCUUUCGAAAUUAUUCUCAGUGUGCGGUGAAUUUAUGAGUUGUCAUUUUUUAUUAUUUACAUUGGCAAAUCUGACUACGUGAUAACUGAGGCUGGUUUUGGAUCUGACGAGGAAUAGAAAAGUUGCCGUGCGUCGGGUAAGAUCCCAAAUUCCCGCGACGACGGUUCGUGUAUUGGUGGUGGUCCGCCGGUUAUUGGCACAGCCCCAUUGUGCAUAUCAUGGAAAAUGUGGAACUGGUCGAGAAUGGAUUACCGAAUUAACUUAAGCGAACUGAUUGAAGUACAGAGCUCCGGUUGUUGUAACCAUCAAUAUCAUUCUACCGACAGUAGAGCGGAGCACGAUCUUAUCAAGAAAUUUGUAAACUAGCUGGAACUUUUGCGGCCGUUGUUUCGGAUCACAGCCGUGGGAGGAGCUACUGAAUUACCGCAGGUAAUGAUAGAUGCUUGCUAGCAGCAAUCUAAUUUCAAACUGUUGUACAAGCUGGAUCUGACAGUCGAAGAGAAAAUGUUCAAGAUUGCCAAGGAAAUGGUACAUUGCUAGAACGAUUGAGCUUUUCCGCAGGGUAAAGAUAGCCGUCCGAUUGCAUACUGAUAAGGGCUUAUGUAUAUCACCAAAAUUGCCAUGUCAUUAACCAGGAAUGCUAGCGCUAAGAACGCGACGAAGGAGUUUAAGUUAGUCAUCAACGAUAUCUACCUGUCGACCGGGGCUAAAUUUAUUCUACCGAUAUGCGGAGAGAUCACCACGAGACAUAGACAGCCUACCAGACCUCCGUCCGGAAAUCCAAAAAAUCGGGGCAUCACCGAAAAACUGAAAACUUCCGCAUCCAACGUGGCACUGGAGAUGAGCCGUUUCAAGUCCACCCGAAAUCUAACGAUAUCUUUGACAAGCCCAAAAUUACUCAAGCACUCCGUGUGUAACGCCCGCUCGUGAGCUUGCUUCGUCGAUUAUCAUAAUCAACGAACGUGACGAGUUUUCGCAACGGUUGCAGAAAAAGGACCAACCGCGACCUUCAACGCUAGGAAAGUUGUGGAAUCAACUAGCAGAAAUGCUUGUCAAGAGGCAGCCGUAUGACUCGAAACGGAUGAUCGAGACAAGUUACUAGCCGAGUUGAAAGUUUAAUCACACCGCCAAUAUUUGUAGAAACGUAAUAAUGCAAGGUUGCAGAACACGAAGAAGACAAUAUGGAUGAUAAGUAUCUAUUUGAGGCAACGGAGAGCACUGAGCGGGAACUGCAGGAUCGGGAGUAUACAAUAAACUUGCUACAGAUUUCUAAGGAACAUGGGAACGCAAGAUAGUUGGAGCGAGUUUAACGAUAUCAUAUGCCGCAAGAUAUCAAAAAAGGUGAAAAAGAGGAAAUUGUAAUGGAUGAGCGGGAGAUGUCCAACUCGGAACAGAAAAAGUGGGAAGCGGAGCAGAACACUUGGCAUCGGCUUUGUAUAAAUUCGGUUUAAAAAAUGCGAAACAACACGAAGAGUAAGAAUUACUAUUGUGUGAUCAGAUUGAUUUUGUACAAGCCUUACGUCUUGAUGGCACCAAGCCCGAAGAGGGAAAAUCAUACACGCAAAAAAAUUAAGUAUAUUUAAACCAAAAAUAUAUGGUAUUGAAUCCAAUAAUUUAUUUAUUACUUCAACCAAUUGGUCUGAAAACAUUUUUUUCUUAGAACAAUGAACUUUUGCUUUCAAUAAAAACAGUUUUAAUUUCAAUAAUUUCGUUCUAAUUUUAAUAAAAUAAAUAUUGGAAAAGGGAUCAAAAAAUCCUUCUAUUGAAAUAAUAAAUAAAUUUUAUUGAAUUCAAUAAAUAAAUUUA